UUUAAUAAACUAAUUAUUAAGAAAAACUAGUUUAAUUAAAUGAUGAUUGUGGUAUACGAGGAGUCUUUUUCCUUCCUUUCUUUGGAUUUUGCAAAUUUUUCAAAUGAUGUGGUUGUCCAUAUCAGAUGCCACCUAAGGUGGUAUAGAAAUAUGGUAUAAAAACAUGGUAUGAAUAGCAUUACUCAAAAGUUAAUAACUUAAAAAAUACAAUUUCUCACCACUUAUAUAGAAACAUGUGGUGUACCAACAAUGUUCCCAUCACAAUGAAAAUUUUCUCGAAAUAUAGCUAGCAUCCCUCUAUAUUUUAAUAAAAAUAAUGAGAUUUCAUUAAGUGAUGAGAAAAAACUAGCAUUGACAUAGAAGAUUUGACAAGCCAAACUACACAUAAGGACUUUAGUUAUUGAACUACAAUCAGUGCCCUACCUUCUCC
rnacentral:lncRNA from 1 species